rnacentral:rRNA from 1 species
GAUGAACGCUAGCGGCAGGCUUAAUACAUGCAAGUCGUGGGGCAGCAGGUUUGUAGCAAUACAGAUGCUGGCGACCGGCAAACGGGUGCGGAACACGUACAGAACCUUCCUUGAGCGGGGAAUAGCCCAGAGAAAUUUGGAUUAAUACCCCAUAGUAUAAUGAAGUGGCAUCACUUUAUUAUUAAAGAUUUAUCACUCGAAGAUGGCUGUGCGGCUGAUUGGGUAGUUGGCGGGGUAAAGGCCACUAAGCCUGCGAUCAGUAACUGGUGUGAGAGCACGACCAGUCACACGGGCACUGAGACACGGGCCCGACUCCUACGGGAGGG